rnacentral:lncRNA from 1 species
UUCUGAUUUGACUUGUGAAUUCUUUGGUUUAUAUUUGCUUAAUAAAGAUUUUUUUGAAUUCAAACUAUUUAUACUUAUAUUCUAUGACACAUACAAAAAUACAGUAGACAUUUUCUGUGCUGAAAGAGCUUAAAAUUAAAUAGUCACAGGAAACUUAGACAAACUAAAGGCCCACCGAGUGUGGAGAUUGAGUAGUUACCAGAAUUUAGAGUAGGAUAUGGGCCGAAGUGGAUGGGAAGGUGUCAACGAGGAGGGGAGUCUUCCUCUUGGCUUGAAGAAAGGUAGGACAAGGAAAUGCAAUGAGGAAAAGGAGAAGCAUUCUGGGAGUGAAUGCAUGUGGUAUACUUGAGUAAGACAGUUUGCCUUAAAUAUAGAAUACCUGCAGUGAAUACAUCUAGGAAGGAAAAUUUGGGCCAGAUUACAUUGGAUCUUGAAUGCCUGGAGAGCAGUUUGGCAAUUGCCUUGUGUGAAGUUAUUGGAGGUUACUGAGAAAAGAAUAAAACAAAAACAUAAAAACAUAGAGUUGGAGAGGAUAUUAGAGGUCAUUGAAUCUUCUCUCCUCAUUUUAUGAAGAGUCUAAAUUACUUUGCCAAUACUACAUAGAAUAUUUGGCAGACCUGCUUUGGAAAGCAGGUUUCCAUAAAGCAAAGACAUAAAAAUUAUAUUAGGAAUAUAAAUCUGGCAGAUAUUCUCUCUUGUAAUGCCCUUUCAACAAUACAAAUAUGUUACCUCAGUGGCAGAAUGCAAUAAGCUAUUAGCACAAUUCAGUUGAUCUGAUUAGCUAGUUAGUCACUUUGUAAGGCAGUUAAAUGAGUGAAUGGGUUGUUGGGGAAGAGUUAAGGCCUCCAAAUAUGAGGUGCUAUCCUGAGAGCUCAGAUAUUCAUGACCAUCUUUGCAAGAAUCAGUACGAAAGCCCGGGACACCCAAACGCAGAGGUGGAGGUGGAACCUUAAAGACAACUUUGUCAAACUGCAUAGUGGGAAGAUGAGUGUGGGCCAUCCAGACUGUUUUAAAGAGGAUACAGUGAUGUUGAUAGGAGGCACACGAUGUGAUUAUGUGACUAUGUUACCACAGAUAGCCUUACGUAGCUUGCUGGAAUUUCUCUCUUCUUGCCGAAGAAAGCAAGUGACUAUGUUGGGGCACCCCUCAUGGCAAGGAACUGUGGGUGCUCACCAGCUAACACCCAGAAAAAGCUGAAGCUUUCAGUCACACAGAACUGAAUUCUUUCAACAACCUGAGUAAGCUUGCAAAUGGAUA